GCUGGGCGUGGUGGCGCGUGCCUGUAAUCCCAGCUACUGGGGAGGCUGAGGCAGGAGAAUCGCUUGAGCCUGGGAAGCUGAGGUUGCAGUGAGCGGAGAUCACACCACUGCACUCCAGCCUGGAUGACAGAGCAAGACUCUGUCUCAA
ensembl:misc_RNA Metazoa_SRP Metazoan signal recognition particle RNA